rnacentral:rRNA from 1 species
AUGCUGCCAUCCUUCUCGCCGGCGGCCACCGCGGCGGCGACCCCGCCGCCGAAGCCGAUCCCGGGCGGCUACGGCGCGCCCGUGCUGGGCCCGCUCAGGGACCGUCUCGACUACUUCUGGUUCCAGGGCCCCGAGGAGUUCUUCCGGCGGCGCGCCGCGCAGUACCGGAGCACGGUGUUCCGGGCCAACAUCCCGCCCACGUUCCCCUUCUUCGUCGGCGUGAACCCGCGCGUGGUCGCCAUCGUGGACACCGCCGCCUUCACGGCGCUGUUCGACCCGGAGCUGGUGGACAAGCGCGACUGCCUCAUCGGGCCGUACAACCCCAGCGACUCCUUCACGGGCGGCACCCGCGUGGGCGUGUACCUGGACACGGAGGAGCCCGAGCACGAGCGCACCAAGGCCUUCGCCAUGGACCUCCUCCGCCGCAGCUCCCGCGUGUGGGCGCCCGAGUUCCUCGAGGGCGUCGACGGCAUGCUCGCCGCCAUCGAGUCCGACCUGGACGCCGGCAAGGGCAAGGACGGCGGCGCCAGCUUCCUGGUCCCGCUGCAGAAGUGCAUCUUCCGGUUCCUGUGCAGGUCGGUGGCCAGCGCCGACCCGGCCGCCGAGGAUCUCGUCGACCGCUACGGGCUCUUCAUCCUGGACGUCUGGCUGGGGCUGCAGCUGGUGCCGACGCAGAAGAUCGGCGCCAUCCCGCAGCCGCUGGAGGAGCUGCUCCUCCACUCCUUCCCCUUCCCCUCCAUCCUCGUCAAGCCGGGGUACGACCUGCUGUACCGCUUCCUCGAGAAGCACGGCGCCGAGUCCGUGGCCGUCGGCGUCAAGGACCACGGCAUGACCGACAAGGACGCCAUCAACAACAUCCUCUUCCUGCUCGGCUUCAACGCCUUCGGGGGCUUCUCGGUGUUCCUCCCCUUCCUCAUCCUGCAGGUCGGCAAGGACGCCGCGCUCCGCGCCAGGCUCCGCGACGAGGUGCGCGCCGCGCUGGAGCGGCACGCCGGCGAGGUCGGGUUCGCGUCGGUGCGCGGGAUGCCGCUGGUGCGGUCCACGGUGUACGAGGUGCUCCGGAUGAACCCGCCCGUGCCGCUGCAGUUCGGGCGCGCGCGGCGGGACUUCGUGCUGCGCUCCCACGGCGGGGAGGGCUUCUCCGUCGCCGCCGGGGAGAUGCUGUGCGGGUACCAGCCGCUGGCGAUGCGGGACCCGGCGGUGUUCGACCGGCCGGACGAGUUCGUGGCGGACAGGUUCGUCGGGGCGGAGGGGGAGGCGCUGCUGCGGUACGUGUACUGGUCCAACGGGCCGGAGACGGGGGAGCCGGCGGCGGGGAACAAGCAGUGCGCCGCCAAGGAGGUGGUCGUGGCCACCGCCUGCAUGCUCGUCGCCGAGCUCUUCCGCCGCUACGACGACUUCGAGUGCGACGGCACCGCCUUCACCAGGCUCCACAAGCGGCCGCAGCCCAGCUGA